rnacentral:rRNA from 1 species
UACGAGGGGGGCAAAUGUUGUUCGGAAUCACUGGGCGUAAAGGGAGCGUAGGCGGGUUUCUAAGUCAGGUGUUUAAUCCCGGGGCCCAACCCCGGACAGGCACUUGAAACUGGGAAUCUUGAAUAGUGGAGAGGUCAGUGGAAUUGGGGGUGUAGCGGGUGGAAUGCGUAGAGAUCCCCAAGAACACCAGUUGCGAAGGCGGCUGACUGGACACAUAUUGACGCUGAGGCUCGAAAGCAUGGGGAGCAAACAGGG